GGCGAACGCUGGCGGCGUGCUUAACACAUGCAAGUCGAACGGAAAGGCCCUGCUUUUGUGGGGUGCUCGAGUGGCGAACGGGUGAGUAACACGUGAGUAACCUGCCCUUGACUUUGGGAUAACUUCAGGAAACUGGGGCUAAUACCGGAUAGGAGCUCCUGCUGCAUGGUGGGGGUUGGAAAGUUUCGGCGGUUGGGGAUGGACUCGCGGCUUAUCAGCUUGUUGGCGGGGUAGUGGCUUACCAAGGCUUUGACGGGUAGCCGGCCUGAGAGGGUGACCGGCCACAUUGGGACUGAGAUACGGCCCAGACGCCUACGGGAGGCAGCAGGGGGGAAUAUUGCACAAUGGGCGGAAGCCUGAUGCAGCAACGCCGCGUGCGGGAUGACGGCCUUCGGGUUGUAAACCGCUUUCGCCUGUGACGAAGCGUGAGUGACGGUAAUGGGUAAAGAAGCACCGGCUAACUACGUG
rnacentral:rRNA from 1 species